CAACCUUCCAGGCAACUAGAACUCUAGGCCUGUAUUUGAGAAAGGAUGGGCAGGUUCAGCUCCCCCAGACCGCUGCGGCUCACACCCCUCGGAGAAUGACUUCCAGUUUCACACAGUCCCAUCCCUGGUCUCUCUUCCAUUGCGUUUAUAGCCAUGGAGAGGUCUGAAGAAGUUAGCCCAGGAAAGACCACGCUCCUUAGGCAAGACUGGGACCCCAAACAAACCUGGACGAGAGGAGGAAAAUCCUAGGAAAAGGGAGUGGAGCCAGCCACCCACUAGGACAAGCAUCUACUCCUUCUCUCCUCUUCUUGGGCCAAGGAACACGGCUAACUAGUUAAUAUAAGAGACCAUUAGAAACUGCACUUCACUCCUCAGGAAGAGUUGACAUCUCUCACUGCCCUCUCGCCUCCAUUGUUCUUUCUCCUGGACAGUUGGAACUCAAGGUCCCCUUUCACUCCCUUCUUGAGUACCCCUAGCACUUGCUGGGUUGGAGGAGCAGGGAACUCUCGGUUCUCCACUCAGGACUUUCUGGAAGCCCAUCUUCGUAUGCUCACCAGCCCACCCUCCUACGCUGGUCAGAGUGAGAUUGCUAAUCUCAAGACCCCAUUCAAUGCCAGCUUUCAACUACUGCUGAAGACCAAUGUAGGUCCUGGAAUAGAAGAACUGCAGAGUAUCCGGAGCUGGCCGACCCCAGACUGAUUCUCAACAGGUGGCUGGGUAGUGCCCCCCACCCUGUGUUGGUCGUGCGGGACCCAUCGCACACAGAGAAGCCACCUUACCCCUCACCUCACCCCGUCGGCCAAAGACUGACCACCCGCGCCCGAGUGUGGGGAGGGGUGGGAAUUCCGGAUCACACACACACACACACACACACACACACACACACACACACACACACACACCAGGGUAGGGGAACAGGGAAGAUCUUACCUGCAGAAAGGUAAGAGAAGCCGGGAGCGUGUAGCAGCGGCGGAUAAAUAUUCAUUAGGAAGUGUAAGUCCUUUCAAAGGGCUCCGCGCGCGCGCUCUAGCUCCUGUCUCUCUUUCUCUCCCUCCCUCUGUCCUCCAGGAAGGCUUCCCCUCCUCUAGCUAUCUCAACGCCCCCCCCCCCCCCCCCCCCCCCCCUUCCUGCGAAAUACCGGGUGGAUCCUAGGCUAGCUAACCUGUUGGGAAGCCUGAACUGCGGUAGUGCCUCUGCAGCUAGCAGUUUGCUUUCGCUCCUGGGGCGCGCGCCCCCCCCAUCCCCUCCCCUCCUUCCUUUCGCCCAGCCCCUCACCCCUCCUAAAUCACUACAUCAUUAGCUUUAUUGGGCGGGGGGGGGGUAACGGAGCAGCCAGACGCACCUCUCCAUAGAAGGGUGAAUAGUUGGUGCCCUGCGAUGCAACCCCAACUCCAUCUCCACCUCAUUCUCACCCAUCUGCACAUCCUCAUCCAAUCUUGCUUCUUUUUCUUC
rnacentral:lncRNA from 1 species